rnacentral:rRNA from 1 species
UACGAAGGGGGCUAGCGUUGUUCGGAAUCACUGGGCGUAAAGCGUACGUAGGCGGAUUGUUAAGUCAGGUGUGAAAUCUCGAGGCUCAACCUCGAAACUGCACUUGAUACUGCCUUGCUCGAGUACUGGAGAGGAGAUUGGAAUUUACGGUGUAGCAGUGAAAUGCGUAGAUAUCGUAAGGAAGACCAGUGGCGAAGGCGAAUCUCUGGACAGUUACUGACACUGAGGCACGAAGGCCAGGGGAGCAAACAGG